rnacentral:lncRNA from 1 species
UUAAUUGCAAGAUGUGAGGUCAAUUGGUAGAGUCUGAUCCUAAGAUACAAGAUACACACCAUUCAAGGAAAAUUUAAAAGAAUAUUUCAGAUGUCAAAUAUAAUAAGGUAUUAGGCCAUAAAAACUUUGAGAAAAAAAGAAAAUAAAACUUGAACAAAAAGAUUGUCCAAAAAAAAAACUAUACAAGGGGAUUAUCCUCUAAACAAAAUACAUACAUGAGAUUAUCCUCUACACAAAAUCCUUUCCCUAGCCAUCACCUAUCAC